UACGUAGGGUGCAAGCGUUAAUCGGAAUUACUGGGCGUAAAGCGUGCGCAGGCGGUUAUGCAAGACAGAUGUGAAAUCCCCGGGCUCAACCUGGGAACUGCAUUUGUGACUGCAUAGCUGGAGUGCGGCAGAGGGGGAUGGAAUUCCGCGUGUAGCAGUGAAAUGCGUAGAUAUGCGGAGGAACACCGGUGGCGAAGGCGGCAUCCUGGACCAAUAUUGACGCUGAGGAGCGAAAGCUAGGGGAGCAAACGGG
rnacentral:rRNA from 1 species